rnacentral:rRNA from 1 species
GACGAACCGUGCGAACGUUGUUCGGAAUCACUGGGCUUAAAGGGCGCGUAGGCGGAUUGCCAAGUCUGUGGUGAAAUCCUCUGGCUUAACCAGAGAACUGCCGUGGAUACUGGUGAUCUCGAGGAAGGUAGGGGUAUGUGGAACUAUUGGUGGAGCGGUGAAAUGCGUUGAUAUCAAUAGGAACUCCGGUGGCGAAGGCGACAUACUGGACCUUUUCUGACGCUGAGGCGCGAAAGCUAGGGGAGCGAACGGG